AUGGCAGCUCCGAGAGCACUCGUCCUCGGCGUCCUGCUGCUGAUCGCCGUCUCCAACACCGAGGCGGCGUCCGUCGUCGUCGGCAUGGCCAAGUGCGCCGACUGCACCAGGAAGAACAUGAAGGCCGAGGAAGCCUUCAAGGGU
rnacentral:rRNA from 1 species